rnacentral:lncRNA from 1 species
AGCCCUGGCAAAGCUGUUUUAUCAAAGGCUUUCUCCUCCCCACAUGCAUGGAGCUCCCAUGUGCUCUGUGUUUGUCCAUUCAGCCACAACAAAGGAAGCUUCCAUCAGGUCCGGCACUGUCUCUUCCUCCGCUGUCAGAUGUCUGCACCAGCCUGAGAUGACCUUCUUUGUGUGUUGGCGGAGACAGGAAGGCCUGGGGAUGUUUGGUAACUGCACAGAAGCACCAAGGACUCCUGACCACAGUGACACUGGGCUUGAGCACUGGGGGUAGAGGGGCACCAGCAGCCUGCCACGCAAAACGAGGCCACUCAGUAAGGGUCUCUCACAUGAGCCCUAAGCAAAUAGAGUCAAUAAUGGUGGCUCUUCUCUUUCUUCAUUCAAGAAU